rnacentral:rRNA from 1 species
AUUAGGAAUCUUGCACAAUGGGGGAAACCCUGAUGCAGCGACGCCGCGUGGAGGACGAAGGCAUUCGUGUCGUAAACUCCUUUUGACAGGGAAGAAGAAUGUGACGGUACCUGUCGAAUAAGCCCCGGCUAACUACGUGCCAGCAGCCGCGGUAAUACGUAGGGGGCGAGCGUUGUCCGAAGUUACUGGGCGUAAAGCGCGCGUAGGCGGCUUUUUAAGUCUGGGGUGAAAGGUUCUGCGCUUAACGUGAACAGUGCCCUGGAGACUGGAAGGCUUGAGUGUGGGAGGGGGCAGUGGAAUUCCUGGUGUAGCGGUGAAAUGCGUAGAUAUCAGGAGGAACACCGAUGGCGAAGGCAGUUGCCUGGCCUAACACUGACGCUGAGGUGCGAAAGCGUGGGGAGCGAACGG